rnacentral:rRNA from 1 species
UACGAGGGGGGCAAGCGUUGUUCGGAAUUAUUGGGCGUAAAGGGCGCGUAGGCGGUGCGGUAAGUCACCUGUGAAAUCUCCGGGCUCAACUCGGAGCCUGCAGGCGAAACUGCCGUGCUGGAGUGUGGGAGAGGUGCGUGGAAUUCCCGGUGUAGCGGUGAAAUGCGCAGAUAUCGGGAAGAACACCCGUGGCGAAGGCGGCUCUCUGGGACGGUACUGACGCUGAGACGCGAAAGCGUGGGGAGCGAACAGG